UCUAUUUCUCUCGGGAAAGAAACAGAAGUUUCGAGUACCCCUCCUAAAGAUCAAAGUCGCUACACACGGUGCAAAUCUCUCGGUCUCUCUCCCGACGCGAGAGGCGGUUUCCAGGCGGGCUGCCUCCGCUGGUCUCCAUCGCCUCCGGUAAGCCGUCGGGCUCUCGGAGGUGUGCGGGACAGUGUACGACCGUGAUGCGGUUGUAGAUAAUGUUGUUUUAGGAUUUUAUUCUGGCACUGGCGGGCAGGCAGGGGCGACGUCAAUGCUAUGGGAUAAGGUUCCCCCUGGCUCCUUUCCCGUCUCUGCGGUGCUCCCUCCGGCCGGUGGCACUGUGGGGUUAGGGAGGUUGGCCUCUCUCUUAUCCAGCGAGGUUUGGUCGGUGAUGGGGGUGCACAAUAGUAUAGAAGUUGGGAUUUGUGGAGAGGGAUUCCCAGAUCAGGUCGCCUCGGACGGCCGACAGCUGCACACUGUUGCGGGCGAAGUGGUUUGAGUUGCGGCUCCACUCCGUCGUAGGCUACCGCUGGUCAAGGGAUCACUUGGUCUACCCCAGGCCGAUGCACCGGAACCCUCCCUGGUUCCGUCUUUUGGGGCGGGACUUAUAUGCGGCUCACAAAGCCAUGGAUCGGUGAUGCUGCUCCUCAUGCCCGUUGUCUUGUGGAUGACGGCUAGCACCGGCGAGUGCAGAGAUCAGCGUGCCUAGGUGAAUAAGGAAGAUGAACUGGGCUGUAAGUUACUUUGUUUGCUCUGUCGGUGUUAUUCCCUUUAGUGUUAUCUCUGCCUCUCUAGUUCUCAAGCUCCAACGACAUGCCCUUUUUUGUGCUGGCCAUGGAGGCUAGCAGCGGCAGGACUGCCAUGACUAGGCCGCGCAAUAUUUCUAACAGUGUUGAGCUACUCGUUCCCGACAGCUCCGAUGCCAAGCUGCCAAUAGAAGCAGAGCAGGUAUGUGUGUGAUGGAUCUUUUAAUGAUAAGUUUGCUUCCUGUUCGAUUAGGUGCAUAUUUCGCAAGGUAAUGUUGUUCUAUCAUGUCUCUGAUUUUGAUUUUGAUUUUGAUUUUUUCUGCAGAUUUCAGGAUAUAGAAGGCAGCUUCAGGAAGGGGUCGCUGACGAGGUGAGGCCAUUGCGUCUAUUCUUGUGUUAGUUUGUUUCAAAGAAAUCACACUAAUUUCUCUCAGUAUACUCUAUAGAGAAAUAAGUACUGAAGCAGGCUUCACCGAAGACUACUGAUCUAGAAUUGUCUGUUGCUGAAAUAAGUCCAGGAGCUAUGGAGCAGGCUGAACAAUUUUCUGUUGAUUUUACUCAAUGGAUUGUCCCUGUAAUUUGACCAAACGUCAUGUCGCCGUGCCACUGAAGUUUUUGCACAGAAUUCUUGUCUUUUUGGGUGGUGCCAAGCUGUCUUUUUGUUGAACAAUGCCACAAUUGCAUAGUUGUAAGUUAUUUAGGAUUGUCUCUAUUGCAUACGACCUGGAGUUACAAGAGGUCCAGUACUAAUUUUGUGUAUGUAUGUACAUGUGCAGUCGCCCAUUUUCUAUACACAUGAUUCCAAAACAUCUUUUACUGUACAUUUUGUUUCUUUGCUCGGUACAAAAUGUAUUGCAAGUGUUGUUCAUUUUUUUCCCUUCUGUAAAUAUACUAGAGACCCUCUAAGGGCUCAGUUUUCUUCCCGUUGUCUGAAUAUACCCAGAUUUAUUUUGUGUGUGCGUAUUUAACAAAGCAUUUAGUUAACC
rnacentral:lncRNA from 1 species